rnacentral:hammerhead_ribozyme from 1 species
GUCCAGAUGAUAAGUCCCAAAUAGGACUAAAUGCGCAUCCUGGAU